GAGGAACAUGAUGAAUGUGUGAGCAAUUUAUAUUGUGUGUGGUACUUUUAUAAACUUUCAUAUAGUUUUAUAGGUACUAAAAGUUAUAGGUGUCAAGAUGGCCGCGGGUGUCUUUGCUAGAACAAAAGGAAAUCAGUGCCAAGAAGAAGGUGGAGUUUGAUAAAGUAAAUAAUUGCCUUGUUACCUGUUAAUAACCAAUUAUAAAGGUAUUUGUAAUGCAUGUUUACAUCUGGACAGUGACCUGUAACCAUUUAUGUGCUUCUUGUCACGAGACCUUGUAUACAGAUGCUAUAAAAACCCUGAGCUAUCCUAAUAAAUGUGACAUAUUUUAGAUCUCA